AGAGUUUGAUCAUGGCUCAGGAUGAACGCCGGCGGUGUGCCUAAUACAUGCAAGUCGUACGCGUUGGCCCAACUGAUUGAACGUGCUUGCACGGACUUGACGUUGGUUUACCAGCGAGUGGCGGACGGGUGAGUAACACGUAGGUAACCUGCCCCAAAGCGGGGGAUAACAUUUGGAAACAGAUGCUAAUACCGCAUAACAAUUUGAAUCGCAUGAUUCAAAUUUAAAAGAUGGCUUCGGCUAUCACUUUGGGAUGGACCUGCGGCGCAUUAGCUUGUUGGUAGGGUAACGGCCUACCAAGGCUGUGAUGCGUAGCCGAGUUGAGAGACUGAUCGGCCACAAUGGAACUGAGACACGGUCCAUACUCCUACGGGAGGCAGCAGUAGGGAAUCUUCCACAAUGGGCGCAAGCCUGAUGGAGCAACACCGCGUGAGUGAAGAAGGGUUUCGGCUCGUAAAGCUCUGUUGUUAGAGAAGAACGUGCGUGAGAGCAACUGUUCACGCAGUGACGGUAUCUAACCAGAAAGUCACGGCUAACUACGUGCCAGCAGCCGCGGUAAUGCGUAGGUGGCAAGCGUUAUCCGGAUUUAUUGGGCGUAAAGCGAGCGCAGGCGGUUUGAUAAGUCUGAUGUGAAAGCCUUUGGCCUAACCAAAGAAGUGCAUCGGAAACUGUCAGACUUGAGUGCAGAAGAGGACAGUGGAACUCCAUGUGUAGCGGUGGAAUGCGUAGAUAUAUGGAAGAACACCAGUGGCGAAGGCGGCUGUCUGGUCUGCAACUGACGCUGAGGCUCGAAAGCAUGGGUAGCGAACAGGAUUAGAUACCCUGGUAGUCCAUGCCGUAAACGAUGAGUGCUAGGUGUUGGAGGGUUUCCGCCCUUCAGUGCCGCAGCU
rnacentral:rRNA from 1 species